GACGAACGCUGGCGGCGUGCUUAACACAUGCAAGUCGAACGGAAAGGCCCUGCUUUUGGGGGGUGCUCGAGUGGCGAACGGGUGAGUAACACGUGAGUAACCUGCCCUUGACUUUGGGAUAACUUCAGGAAACUGGGGCUAAUACCGGAUAGGAGCUCCUGCUGCAUGGUGGGGGUUGGAAAGUUUCGGCGGUUGGGGAUGGACUCGCGGCUUAUCAGCUUGUUGGUGGGGUAGUGGCUUACCAAGGCUUUGACGGGUAGCCGGCCUGAGAGGGUGACCGGCCACAUUGGGACUGAGAUACGGCCCAGACUCCUACGGGAGGCAGCAGUGGGGAAUAUUGCACAAUGGGCGGAAGCCUGAUGCAGCAACGCCGCGUGCGGGAUGACGGCCUUCGGGUUGUAAACCGCUUUCGCCUGUGACGAAGCGUGAGUGACGGUAAUGGGUAAAGAAGCACCGGCUAACUACGUGCCAGCAGCCGCGGUGAUACGUAGGGUGCGAGCGUUGUCCGGAUUUAUUGGGCGUAAAGGGCUCGUAGGUGGUUGAUCGCGUCGGAAGUGUAAUCUUGGGGCUUAACCCUGAGCGUGCUUUCGAUACGGGUUGACUUGAGGAAGGUAGGGGAGAAUGGAAUUCCUGGUGGAGCGGUGGAAUGCGCAGAUAUCAGGAGGAACACCAGUGGCGAAGGCGGUUCUCUGGGCCUUUCCUGACGCUGAGGAGCGAAAGCGUGGGGAGCGAACAGGCUUAGAUACCCUGGUAGUCCACGCUGUAAACGGUGGGUACUAGGUGUGGGGUCCAUUCCACGGGUUCCGUGCCGUAGCUAACGCUUUAAGUACCCCGCCUGGGGAGUACGGCCGCAAGGCUAAAACUCAAAGGAAUUGACGGGGCCCCGCACAAGCGGCGGAGCAUGCGGAUUAAUUCGAUGCAACGCGUAGAACCUUACCUGGGUUUGACAUGGAUCGGGAGUGCUCAGAGAUGGGUGUGCCUCUUUUGGGGUCGGUUCACAGGUGGUGCAUGGCUGUCGUCAGCUCGUGUCGUGAGAUGUUGGGUUAAGUCCCGCAACGAGCGCAACCCUUGUUCACUGUUGCCAGCACGUUAUGGUGGGGACUCAGUGGAGACCGCCGGGGUCAACUCGGAGGAAGGUGGGGAUGACGUCAAGUCAUCAUGCCCCUUAUGUCCAGGGCUUCACGCAUGCUACAAUGGCUGGUACAGAGAGUGGCGAGCCUGUGAGGGUGAGCGAAUCUCGGAAAGCCGGUCUCAGUUCGGAUUGGGGUCUGCAACUCGACCUCAUGAAGUCGGAGUCGCUAGUAAUCGCAGAUCAGCAACGCCGCGGUGAAUACGUUCCCGGGGCU
rnacentral:rRNA from 1 species